rnacentral:tRNA from 1 species
GAAAAGGAAGCUUUGUAGAAGUUUAGAACUUUUAAUUCUAAGAGGGAGUGUGUUGAAUAAUUAGGUCCUCUUUUCA